ACGAACGCUGGCGGCGUGCUUAACACAUGCAAGUCGAACGGAAAGGCCCAGCUUGCUGGGUACUCGAGUGGCGAACGGGUGAGUAACACGUGGGUGAUCUGCCCCUGACUUUGGGAUAAGCCUGGGAAACUGGGUCUAAUACCGGAUAUGACCUUACAUCGCAUGGUGUUUGGUGGAAAGCUUUUGCGGUUGGGGAUGGGCCCGCGGCCUAUCAGCUUGUUGGUGGGGUAAUGGCCUACCAAGGCGACGACGGGUAGCCGACCUGAGAGGGUGAUCGGCCACACUGGGACUGAGACACGGCCCAGACUCCUACGGGAGGCAGCAGUGGGGAAUAUUGCACAAUGGGCGCAAGCCUGAUGCAGCGACGCCGCGUGAGGGAUGACGGCCUUCGGGUUGUAAACCUCUUUCACCAGGGACGAAGCGUGAGUGACGGUACCUGGAGAAGAAGCACCGGCCAACUACGUG
rnacentral:rRNA from 1 species